rnacentral:tRNA from 1 species
GCAUCUAUGGUCUAACGGUUAGGAUUGCUGCCUUCCACGUCUAAGACGCCCAAGCAGCAGGUUCGGGUUCGACUCCCGAUGGAUGCA